UACGUAGGGUGCGAGCGUUGUCCGGAAUUACUGGGCGUAAAGAGCUCGUAGGUGGUUUGUCGCGUUGUUCGUGAAAACCGGGGGCUUAACCCUCGGCGUGCGGGCGAUACGGGCAGACUUGAGUACUGCAGGGGAGACUGGAAUUCCUGGUGUAGCGGUGGAAUGCGCAGAUAUCAGGAGGAACACCGGUGGCGAAGGCGGGUCUCUGGGCAGUAACUGACGUGGAGGAGCGAAAGCGUGGGGAGCGAACAGG
rnacentral:rRNA from 1 species